GUCCCUAUGUAUACGUAGUUGAUUCCUCACGAAGGGUUGAGAGAUCAAUAUGCGCUCAUUGAUUGCACCGGUAGCUCUACUGCGUCGGCUUCGUCGUUACCUUCUUUCUUAACCGUUAAAUACGAAAUACCUACUUACCUAUCUACUACUUUACAUCCUAACAUACAUUUCCAUCUAAUUUACAUCGGAAAUAUUUCCAAUAUAAAUCUGACUACUAUUUUCGUUCCUAGAAAAACAGUAGCCAUUUUGUUUUACAUUCAAAUUAUUAAAAGCAUUCAAAAAAUUAAUUGAAAUACAAAUUGUUCUCUACGUUAUUGUCAUGCGAUAGGAUUAUCUUUUAUUUGUUUAUUCGUUUUUUUUUUUUGUCAAACAAUGUACCAUUGUCGGUAAUAAAUUUCCGCAAGUUUCUAACCUCUAAUUUUUAAACUCGUUUAUGUCUUUGAAACGGAUUAGUACAAUUAAAAGGGUAUUCGGACAUUUGAUGAUAUCUAAGAUUCAAUUAUAUGCAAUUAAUGAAAACGUUAGUUUAUUAAUGGUUAUAUUUUGAAAUAAGAUCGUUAAUUGACCUAACACUGAAGCGUAGUAUUGUA
rnacentral:lncRNA from 1 species